AAAACCUGACAAAACCCAUUUGGUCCUUGGAAGCCCAGAGUAGGGUUUUCGACUACACUCAACAGUUACAGACACAGACCUUCCAUUCCUCGUACGAAAGUCUCGUGCUUCUGAAAAAUCAGGGAGAUAAAUUAUCUUCUAGCUAGAUAAGUCGAUAAACCGGAAAGUACUCAAGCAAGGCAUGUCUACCAACAAUGGCUUCUCAGGUGUUUCAAAUUGCUAUGUAUUCAAGAGUCGAUUACAAGAAUAUGCACAGAAAGUUGGAAUCCCUACCCCAGUUUAUGAGACAACAAAAGAAGGCCCUUCCCACGAGCCUUCUUUUUGGUCUACAGUAAUAGUUAAUGAUGUUAGGUAUGAUUCUUUACCUGGAUUUUUCAAUCGUAAGGCAGCAGAGCAGUCAGCUGCUGAAGUAGCUCUCAUGCAGUUAGCAAAA